CCUACGGGUGGCAGCAGUGGGGAAUAUUGGACAAUGGGCGAAAGCCUGAUCCAGCCAUGCCGCGUGUGUGAAGAAGGCCUUCGGGUUGUAAAGCACUUUCAGUGGGGAAGAAAGCCUUGGGGCUAAUACCCUCGAGGAAGGACAUCACCCACAGAAGAAGCACCGGCUAACUCCGUGCCAGCAGCCGCGGUAAUACGGAGGGUACGAGCGUUAAUCGGAAUUACUGGGCGUAAAGCGCGCGUAGGCGGUCUGAUAAGCCGGUUGUGAAAGCCCCGGGCUCAACCUGGGAACGGCAUCCGGAACUGUCAGGCUAGAGUGCAGGAGAGGAAGGUAGAAUUCCCGGUGUAGCGGUGAAAUGCGUAGAGAUCGGGAGGAAUACCAGUGGCGAAGGCGGCCUUCUGGACUGACACUGACGCUGAGGUGCGAAAGCGUGGGUAGCAAACAGGAUUAGAUACCCCUGUAGUC
rnacentral:rRNA from 1 species